UCCGGGUUAGUCCCGGCAGUCGCGCCAGAAAGACAACUGGCACCGGGGGUUGCGCUCGUUGCGGGACUUAACCCAACACCUCACGGCACGAGCUGACGACAGCCAUGCAGCAUCUGUGGUGCACCCUCGAAGGUCACACGUUUCCGUGCGCUUGCAGCACCAUGUCAAGCCCAGGUAAGGUUCUUCGCGUUGCAUCGAAUUAAAGAACAUGCUCCGCUGCUUGUGCGGGCCCCCGUCAAUUCUUUUGAGUUUUAGCCUUGCGGCCGUACUCCCCAGGCGGGGCGCUUAAUGCGUUAGCUGCGGCACGGAGGACGUGGAAUGUCCCCCACACCUAGCGCCCAACGUUUACGGCAUGGACUAC
rnacentral:misc_RNA from 1 species